GCAAUUGCAGGCGCAUUUUAUCCGAACUGCUUCCUCCAGGGAACUGUGGACGAGGAGCUCGCCUCCAAGGAACUCUAUGGAAACGACCCCAGGACCACCGUAGUGGUGUGUAAUCUCCCUCCAUUUGCAUUCCUCUACUAUAAACAGCUCCAGUCUCUCUUCAGACACUGUGGUUAAGUCAAAUCCAUCUCCUUUGACAGCUCCAGGGCCUAUGUAGAGUUCUACCGCUCGUAAAUGAGAGGUUCUGGCGUUCUCCCAGAGGUCUCUCUGUCUCUCCUCCUCACGCAGCAGAGACUUCCUCUCCAUCUCAACGUUUAACCCGCUGGAGAGGUGGAGACUUGGGCAGGGGGGUAGUGUAUCUCACACCUCAGAUAUACACGGUACACACACACACACACACACACUGCAGCGAGCAUCAUCAGAUGAGUCAUGGUUACAUUUUAAGUGAGAGUAGUCAUGUGACCACAUCCCCUAGACAGUGUGAUGUUUAGAUGAUGUUCUGUACAUUAGUGCUGUUCUGUUACAGGUCUCUCUCUCUGUGUCUCUCUCACUCACUGUGUGUGUGUGUCUCUCUCAGGGUGAAUGUGGAUUUUCAGAAUCAGUCAGUAAGCCCUGUCGGGGUUCUGAGCAGCUCCAUUGAGCUGGAGAAUCUUCCGUCUAACCCUGUCUUUAUCGUCAAUAUCACCGAAGUCAUCAGAGUCGGGCAUUUCUGGGGUUUCCAGGCUCACGCGGCAAGUCUGGAGAAACAGAGGUGGCUGACAGUGGCUGUUAAUACACGGGCGCUCUGCUCACUUCCUGUCUCACCUUAUCCAAAUCUUCUGUGUCUCGCCCCUUUCUCUGAAACUCACACCAAACCUGGGAACUACUACAGAGCCAAAAUACUGCAUGUCAUGGGGAGUAAUGUGGAGGUAACAUCUGUACACACACACACGUACACCUACUAAAGCGCCUCCGUGAUGGAGAAUGGAGUGGUUACAGGAAAACUGCACAUUGAGUGUACACACGUGUGUGUGUGUGUGUGUGUGUG